CAGGAUGAACGCUGGCGGCGCGCUUAACACAUGCAAGUCGAACGGUUAAAGCACCUCCGGGUGUGCAUAAAGUGGCGAACGGCUGAGUAACACGUGGGCAACCUGCCCCCCGCACCGGGAUAGCCUCGGGAAACCGUGGGUAAUACCGGAUACUCCGCCACCCCCGCAUGGGGGAGGCGGGAAAGCGUACACGGCGGGGGAUGGGCCCGCGGCCUGUUAGCUCGUUGGCGGGGUAACGGCCCACCAAGGCGAUUAUGGGUAGCCGGGUUGAGAGACCGACCGGCCAGAUUGGGACUGAGACACGGCCCAGACUCCUACGGGAGGCAGCAGUGGGGAAUCUUGCACAAUGGGCGAAAGCCUGAUGCAGCGACGCCGCGUGCGGGAUGAAGGCCCUCGGGUUGUAAACCGCUUUCAGCAGGGACGAGGCGCAAGUGACGGUACCCGCAGAAGAAGCCCCGGCUAACUACGUGCCAGCCGCCGC
rnacentral:rRNA from 1 species